GACGGAGGAUGCAAGUGUUAUCCGGAAUCACUGGGCGUAAAGCGUCUGUAGGUGGUUUAAAAAGUCCACUGUUAAAAAUUGAAGCUUAACUUCAAAAAUGCCGUGGAAACUUUUAAACUUGAGUAUGAUAGGGGUAGAGGGAAUUUCCAGUGGAGCGGUGAAAUGCGUAGAUAUUGGAAAGACCACCAAUGGCGAAGGCACUCUACUGGGCCAUUACUGACACUGAGAGACGAAAGCUAGGGGAGCGAAUGGG
rnacentral:rRNA from 1 species